GAGAACUGAUAAUCCAACAGGUGGAAUGAAGGGGUAACGCCCAGAAACGCCACCCUAAACUCCGACAUGCGUCAUAUGGCGAAAGCCAAGGCGUGUGAAGCUCGGUGAAGUCGGCUGAGAGCAACCGUAGGAUGUGAUCAACAUCUCGAAAGCUGUCCAGAGGUGGACGGUGUUGCCUAUAGGUCGGGGGUCUAUAAA
rfam:Blautia sp. YL58, complete genome.